GGCUGAUCCUAGUGCAGUGGUGUUUACAACUAAUUGAUCACAACCAGUUACAGAUUUCUUUGUUCCUUCUCCACUCCCACUGCUUCACUUGACUAGCCUUAA
rfam:Cavia porcellus supercont2_6 genomic scaffold, whole genome shotgun sequence.